rnacentral:rRNA from 1 species
UACGAAGGGGGCUAGCGUUGCUCGGAAUUACUGGGCGUAAAGCGCACGUAGGCGGUCUUUUAAGUCGGUGGUGAAAUCCUGGAGCUCAACUCCAGAACUGCCUUCGAUACUGGAAGACUUGAGUCCGGGAGAGGUGAGUGGAACUGCGAGUGUAGAGGUGGAAUUCGUAGAUAUUCGCAAGAACACCAGUGGCGAAGGCGGCUCACUGGCCCGGUACUGACGCUGAGGUGCGAAAGCGUGGGGAGCAAACAGG